AUUUCAGCUCCAGCUUCAGUGACUCAUCCCAGCAGGCUGACCCCCUCCUGAGGCUGGACCAGCUGCCUCUCCGUCUAGGUGAGGGCCAGGCAAGUUUCUCGUCUUCUGAUGCUUACUGUUUGGGGGACUCGCGGGGAGGGGGUCUUCCAGCCUGUGUCUGUCUGCCUUUGCUUCCUCCCUCUGGCUCUCUCCAUUGGAGACAGAAAGUUAGAUUUAAAAAACGCAACAGAGAAUAUAAAAUCUAUGCUCAGACCCCAGAUAAACAAAACUCUGGGGCCAUAUUCUUAAUUUACCGGGUACCUUCACAUGUCCGAAUGCGGCGUUUAUGGAGCUAGGAAUGUUUUAUUUGUUUCGUGUAUUUCCCUCCUCUCCCCCAUUUUCCUCCGGUGUAAUUCUUAGAGGUGGGGACAGGAGAGCCAGAGGGCUUAGCUGGGAUCCUUUGCCAGAGUGGCUUCUUCAUUCUCUGCGAGGUAGCAGAUGUUUUACUGUAGCCUGAGUUGGGAUCUUGGAACAACCCUCUCCAGCCCAGGACAUGCCAGCGCUUAAGGUGCACUGGCUGAGCGCCAUCAAUUAUACACAUUAAUGCAAUUAGUCAAGAUACAGAAGCUUGUAUUCCAAAUGAAAAUUUCCUACAUCUGAGGCAUCUGUGUAAAAGCUAGGAAGAGCAUCUUGAAACCAUGAAGCAACCAUUCAAAGAACAAAAUCCCAUAUGCUAAGGAUGGUCAAACAUAACAGCAGAAAAAGCCUAUGUCCUUCAUGACAUGGGUGAGCCACCAAACCAACCUGACAUUGAG
rnacentral:lncRNA from 1 species